AUUGAACGCUGGCGGCAGGCCUAACACAUGCAAGUCGAACGGUAACACAGAGAGCUUGCUCUCGGGUGACGAGUGGCGGACGGGUGAGUAAUGUCUGGGAAACUGCCCGAUGGAGGGGGAUAACUACUGGAAACGGUAGCUAAUACCGCAUAACGUCGCAAGACCAAAGUGGGGGACCUUCGGGCCUCACACCAUCGGAUGUGCCCAGAUGGGAUUAGCUAGUAGGUGGGGUAAUGGCUCACCUAGGCGACGAUCCCUAGCUGGUCUGAGAGGAUGACCAGCCACACUGGAACUGAGAAAUGGUCCAGACUCCUACGGGAGGCAGCAGUGGGGAAUAUUGCACAAUGGGCGCAAGCCUGAUGCAGCCAUGCCGCGUGUAUGAAGAAGGCCUUCGGGUUGUAAAGUACUUUCAGCGGGGAGGAAGGCGGUGAAGUUAAUAACUUCACCGAUUGACGUUACCCGCAGAAGAAGCACCGGCUAACUCCGUGCCAGCCGCCGCCGUAA
rnacentral:rRNA from 1 species